AAAAUUUUAAGUUAAUAAAACUAUUUACCUUCAAAGUAAAAAAUAUAAUUUAA
rnacentral:tRNA from 1 species